rnacentral:rRNA from 1 species
CUUGUUGGGGUUGUAGGACUCCGAUAUGGUAGUCUGUUAGUAUAGUUGAAGGAUUUGGAAAAUUCCGCUAAAGAGGGUGAAAGCCCCGUAGACGAAAUGCUGACAACACCUAGGAGGAUCCUGAGUACGGCGGAACACGAGAAAUUCCGUCGGAAUCCGCGGGGACCAUCCCGCAAGGCUAAAUACUCCCUAGUGACCGAUAGUGAACCAGUACCGUGAGGGAAAGGUGAAAAGCACCCCGGAAGGGGAGUGAAAUAGAUCCUGAAACCGUGUGCCUACAACAAGUCAAAGCUCGUUAAUGAGUGAUGGCGUGCCUUUUGUAGAAUGAACCGGCGAGUUACGAUUGCAUGCGAGGUUAAGUCGAAGAGACGGAGCCGUAGCGAAAGCGAGUCUGAAUAGGGCGAAUGAGUAUGUAGUCGUAGACCCGAAACCAUGUGAUCUACCCAUGUCCAGGUUGAAGGUGCGGUAAAACGCACUGGAGGACCGAACCCACGUACGUUGAAAAGUGCGGGGAUGAGGUGUGGGUAGCGGAGAAAUUCCAAACGAACUUGGAGAUAGCUGGUUCUCUCCGAAAUAGCUUUAGGGCUAGCCUCGGAAUUGAGAAUGAUGGAGGUAGAGCACUGUUUGGACUAGGGGCCCAUCUCGGGUUACCGAAUUCAGAUAAACUCCGAAUGCCAUUCAUUUAUAUCCGGGAGUCAGACUGCGAGUGAUAAGAUCCGUAGUCGAAAGGGAAACAGCCCAGACCACCAGCUAAGGUCCCAAAAUAUAUGUUAAGUGGAAAAGGAUGUGGGGUUGCACAGACAACUAGGAUGUUGGCUUAGAAGCAGCCACCAUUUAAAGAGUGCGUAAUAGCUCACUAGUCGAGUGACCCUGCGCCGAAAAUGUACCGGGGCUAAACAUAUUACCGAAGCUGUGGACUACACCAUUAGGUGUAGUGGUAGGAGAGCGUUCUAAGGGCGUUGAAGGUCGAUCGUGAGGACGGCUGGAGCGCUUAGAAGUGAGAAUGCCGGUAUGAGUAGCGAAAGACAGGUGAGAAUCCUGUCCACCGUAUGACUAAGGUUUCCUGGGGAAGGCUCGUCCGCCCAGGGUUAGUCGGGACCUAAGCCGAGGCCGAUAGGCGUAGGCGAUGGACAACAGGUUGAUAUUCCUGUACCAGUUGUUUUUGUUUGAGCAAUGGAGGGACGCAGUAGGCUAAGGAAUGCAUGCGAUUGGAAGUGCAUGUCCAAGCAAUGAGUCUUGAGUAGAGUUAAAUGCUUUACUCUUUAAGGACAAGUUGUGACGGGGAGCGAAAUAAUAGUAGCGAAGUUCCUGAUGUCACACUGCCAAGAAAAGCUUCUAGUGAGAAAACAACUGCCCGUACCGUAAACCGACACAGGUAGUCGAGGAGAGUAUCCUAAGGUGAGCGAGCGAACUCUCGUUAAGGAACUCGGCAAAAUGACCCCGUAACUUCGGGAGAAGGGGUGCUGACUUCGGUCAGCCGCAGUGAAUAGGCCCAAGCGACUGUUUAUCAAAAACACAGGUCUCUGCAAAAUCGUAAGAUGAAGUAUAGGGGCUGACGCCUGCCCGGUGCUGGAAGGUUAAGAGGAUGGGUUAGCUUCGGCGAAGCUCAGAAUUGAAGCCCCAGUAAACGGCGGCCGUAACUAUAACGGUCCUAAGGUAGCGAAAUUCCUUGUCGGGUAAGUUCCGACCCGCACGAAAGGCGUAACGAUUUGGGCACUGUCUCAACGAGAGACUCGGUGAAAUUUUAGUACCUGUGAAGAUGCAGGUUACCCGCGACAGGACGGAAAGACCCCAUGGAGCUUUACUGUAGUUUGAUAUUGAGUGUUUGUACCACAUGUACAGGAUAGGUAGGAGCCGAUGAGACCGGAACGCUAGUUUCGGAGGAGGCGCUGGUGGGAUACUACCCUUGUGUUAUGAACCCUCUAACCCGCACCACUAAUCGUGGUGGGAGACAGUGUCAGAUGGGCAGUUUGACUGGGGCGGUCGCCUCCUAAAAGGUAACGGAGGCGCCCAAAGGUUCCCUCAGAAUGGUUGGAAAUCAUUCGAAGAGUGUAAAGGCAGAAGGGAGCUUGACUGCGAGACCUACAAGUCGAGCAGGGACGAAAGUCGGGCUUAGUGAUCCGGUGGUUCCGCAUGGAAGGGCCAUCGCUCAACGGAUAAAAGCUACCCUGGGGAUAACAGGCUUAUCUCCCCCAAGAGUCCACAUCGACGGGGAGGUUUGGCACCUCGAUGUCGGCUCGUCGCAUCCUGGGGCUGUAGUCGGUCCCAAGGGUUGGGCUGUUCGCCCAUUAAAGCG